UGCCAGCCGCCGCGGUAAUACGGAGGGUGCAAGCGUUGUUCGGAAUUAUUGGGCGUAAAGCGCGUGUAGGCGGUUCGUUAAGUCUGAUGUGAAAGCCCGGGGCUCAACCCCGGAAGUGCAUUGGAAACUGGCGAACUUGAGUACGGGAGAGGAAAGUGGAAUUCCGAGUGUAGGGGUGAAAUCCGUAGAUAUUCGGAGGAACACCAGUGGCGAAGGCGGCUUCCUGGCCCAAUACUGACGCUCAGGUGCGAAAGCGUGGGUAGCGAACAGGAUUAGAUA
rnacentral:rRNA from 1 species